rnacentral:rRNA from 1 species
AUACAUAGCCAUAUCACCCUGCAGCCCAAGACUGGUUACCCACUGAAGCGAAGCAGGGCUGAGCCUGGUCAGUACCUGGAUGGGAGACCUCCUGGGAAAAACCCUUUCUAUGUAAA